UACGUAGGGGGCGAGCGUUGUCCGGAGUUACUGGGCGUAAAGCGCACGCAGGCGGUCUGCUAAGUUUGGAGUGACAGUUGGUGGCUUAACUGCCAAAGUGCUUCGAAAACUGACAGACUUGAGGGCUUCAGAGGGACACGGAAUUCCGGGUGGAGUGGUGAGAUGCGUAGAGAUCCGGAGGAACACCAAAGGCGAAGGCAGUGUCCUGGGGAGUACCUGACGCUCAGGUGCGAAAGCCAGGGGAGCGAACGGG
rnacentral:rRNA from 1 species